GACGAACGCUGGCGGCGUGCCUAAUACAUGCAAGUUGAGCGAUGAAGAUUGGUGCUUGCACCAAUUUGAAGAGCAGCGAACGGGUGAGUAACGCGUGGGGAAUCUGCCUUUGAGCGGGGGACAACAUUUGGAAACGAAUGCUAAUACCGCAUAACAACUUUAAACAUAAGUUUUAAGUUUGAAAGAUGCAAUUGCAUCACUCAAAGAUGAUCCCGCGUUGUAUUAGCUAGUUGGUGAGGUAAAGGCUCACCAAGGCGAUGAUACAUAGCCGACCUGAGAGGGUGAUCGGCCACAUUGGGACUGGGACACGGCCCAAACUCCUACGGGAGGCAGCAGUAGGGAAUCUUCGGCAAUGGACGAAAGUCUGACCGAGCAACGCCGCGUGAGUGAAGAAGGUUUUCGGAUCGUAAAACUCUGUUGGUAGAGAAGAACGUUGGUGAGAGUGGAAAGCUCAUCAAGUGACGGUAACUACCCAGAAAGGGACGGCUAACUACGCG
rnacentral:rRNA from 1 species